UAGGCGGUUGUAAGUCAGUGUGAAAGUUUCGGCUCAACCGGAAAAUUGCCAUUGAUACUGCAAGUCUGAAUCGUUGUGAAGUGGUUAGAAUGUGUAGUGUAGCGGUGAAAUGCAUAGAUAUUACAACAGAAUACCGAUUGCGAAGGCAGAUCACUAACAAUGUAUUGACGCUAAGGGACGAAAGCGUGGGUAGCGAACAGGAUUAGAUACCCUGGUAGUUCCCCGCCGUAAACGAUGGUUACUAGCUGUUCGGAUUUCGGUCUGAGGUGGCUAAGCGAAAAGUGAUAAAGUAACCCACCUGGGGAGUACGUUCGCAAAGAAUGAAACUCAAAGGAAUUGACGGGGGCCCGCACAAGCGGUGGAGCAUGUGGUUUAAUUCGAUGAUACGCGAGGAACCUUACCAGGGCUUAAAUGUAGAUUGACAGGUUUAGAGAUAGACUUUUCUUCGGACAAUUUACAAGGUGCUGCAUGGUUGUCGUCAGCUCGUGCCGUGAGGUGUCAGGUUAAGUCCUAUAACGAGCGCAACCCCUGUUGUUAGUUGCCAGCAUGUAAAGAUGGGAACUCUAGCAAGACUGCCGGUGCAAACCGCGAGGAAGGUGGGGAUGACGUCAAAUCAUCACGGCCCUUACGUCCUGGGCCACACACGUGCUACAAUGGUAGGUACAGAGAGCAGCCACUUGGUGACAAGGAGCGAAUCUAUAAAGCCUA
rnacentral:rRNA from 1 species